UCGAGAAUCUUCGUCAAUGCGCGAAAGCGUGAACGAGCGACGCCGCGUGAGCGAUGAAGCCCUUCGGGGUGUAAAGCUCUUUUAUUAGGGAAAAACUUUGAUUGUACCUAGUGAAUAAGAGGUUGCUAACUCUGUGCCAGCAGCAGCGGUAAUACAGAGACCUCAAGCGUUAUCCGGAUUUAUUGGGCGUAAAGAGUCUGUAGGUUGAAUAAAUAGUCAGAUGUUAAAUUCUAGGGCUUAACCUUAGAACUGCAUUUGAAACGUUUGUUCUAGAGGACAGUAGAGGCAAGUAGAACUUAUAGUGUAGCAGUAAAAUGCGUUGAUAUUAUAAGGAAUACCAAAGGCGAAGGCAUCUUGCUGGACUGUUCCUGACACUGAGAGACGAAAGCGUGGGUAGCAAACAG
rnacentral:rRNA from 1 species